ACUGGGUGGAGAAAUGGGACUUUCCUGGGAGGCUACAAAAGUGGGGAGGGGGAGGCAUUUUGAGGGGAGAAUGAAGAUUAACGUGCCUGGACUGGGUUAGGAAACUGCAGUAAGAAAUAGAAUUUACCUAAAUUAUCCUAUGGUCUAAAGGGACCUCUUGCUUUCCAUCUAGUUAUUGGGAGCCUGCUUAACUUUUCAGUGAGUGUCACCUCAGGACAGUGUGUCUGGUUUAUAUAAAACUUACUCAAUAUGUCUCCAAGGUAUUCUAAGGUCACUCCCCUUCUCCCCCUCCCCCCUCCGUAAUGCUGCAAAAUCCCUGCUGCUGCACUGGAUUAGUCUGAAGAGAUGAAACUCCUAGGCAGCAACAGCAGGACUAGUAAAAUAACACACAUCAUAAUCCUAUAGCUUGAUAGAUUUUUUUUUAAACCUCCCUGGUUUUGCUGGUGCCAAGGUGUGCUGCAAAGAGGAGGAUUUGCUUGCCAUUACAAUUCGUAAUGUUUGAUCAAGGUAUUAAAACACAGUUGAUGCUGAUGCAGUUCCUCAGUGUCAGAAGCUAAGGUGAGAGGCCAGUUGCUUCUGAGGACAUUGUCUGCUGCUAUCAAGAUAUUCAGAGAACUGUUCAUGAGGGGCAUCUCAUGAUUCAUUGUCCCACAUGCUUCAGGUGAAGAAGUCAUGCUAAAUCAGAAAUGAUGGAGAGACUGGACCUCAUUUAUAGUCAAGAUGGCUGAAUUAAUACUAUUGAAAUUGUGUGGAGGAAUGCAAUAUGAACAGACAGGUUUAUGAUAGGAACUUAGGUAAUUUUCUUUUAUACUUUAUUUUCUUCAACUAUUAAAUUCAACACAGUAUUAUCUCUGGAAUUCAUAUUCAGAGCAAGGCACAAGCAAGAUAAAUACCUUCUUUGGACCCUGUGGGUUUGGGGCUUGCAUUUGCUACAGUUUUCAGGCCAGCCCAAUCUAUUCUACUGAUAGCAUGACCAGUGUUGGAGGCAGUUUACCAUUCUAACCUGAUUUUUCUCCCUCCAGCAAAAGGAAUAGUUGGGAUAAAAUUCUUGUCUUGAUGUGUGUCACUCUUAGGCCCCAAAGAUGAUAACAUUAUAGCAUGACCUAAUUUAAAUUUUAAAAGUAUUUUAUAAAUGAGUGAUCAGUUUAGCUGUAAACUGCAGUUAUGAUAAGAAAAAGUGACUAGGUAAAAAUGGUCCCAUCUUGUUAAAAACAUCUUUCCUCUGUGUGUAUUCAGGCUCCUUUCUCCUGACAAAAAUAAGUUUGGCUUAUUUUUUAGUCCUGUUAACACUGCAGCGUUAGUAUUAAAUGGGAGAUGGAGGUGAGAUGCAUUCUGUUCUGGCUCAUGCAACACCAAAGAAAGAUUAUGUAAUUCGUAUUAGAAGGUCAAAUUCUCUCCCAAUCAAGUUUCCAUUAAAAUCAGUGGUAAGGCUCCCAUUGCCUUCAGUGGGGGUUGGAUUGUAAUCAAUGAAUAGAUUGUAAGGGCCAACUUACUUUGACCUACAUAAUCUUUAUUACUGGUAGUAGUGCACAAACCAGAAAACACAGCCUGACUCUCCCAUUCCAAUUUGAGUUUCAAGGCUGGUGGUUAAAAAAAACCUAUAUCUUUACUUCUAAAUUGAGCACAAUUGAUCUGGAAGCCACUGAGAUGUAAUAAACAUGAAACCCCGUGAUGCUGCUUUUAUAGAGUCACUUUUCAAAGUUAGAACUACACUUUAAAAGAACAAAGGGUUAAUACUAUGAGGAAUCCACUGCAUUCUCACUACCUGCAUAAACCUUUCUUUAUCUGGGAGUAAAAUAUCAGUACACUUCUCAAUUUAAAGUUUAUGAAUUUCUUUUCUUCCUUAAUAACUCUUUGAGGUGUCAGCACUGAAAAGAUGAAUCAUUUUUUUAGUAGGAGGCCUGACACACGAUGAAAUCACUAUCUGACACUUCAAUGACUUCUAAUGUUGUUUUGUGUAACACAUCACUGUUGGGGAUGCUGUGGGAUUUUGAAAGUUCAGCAACGCACGGAUAAUGUGAUGUUGCAACUCUGUGAGUAGUAGUUCUUUUCUUUCCUCCAAACUGAUGAAAUGCUUUAUCAUCACAGAGUGUGAGAACUUGCCUUUUUGGUAUGACUAGCCUGUGGCUAUUAUUAAUCAUGAUUCAAUUAAAAAAAAAAACUUCUGAAAACUUAACACAUUUGAAACUGGCAGAGGGAGGCUGUCUUUAUAAUUAUUCUUGAGAAUCAGUGUAAAAGCAGAAAUGAAUUAAU